CCACACGCCGGCCGGAGGAUUUGGUUUUCGCUGUCCCGGACCACAGCCUUGAUGCUUCUCAUCUCUCUCGCUCGCCAGGCGAAGAGUCAAAUCCAGCCUUGUUUUCCUCAGGAAUCACGUUGCUCUAAAAUCAAAGAAUCCCAGGGUUACUUUGUUCCUUCUACACGGAUUCGGAACUGUCCAUUACGUGUCAGAUCAGAGCAUCAUACAUGGAUGAUGUCCACACAUAUACCUGCGAACACAUGGUUUUUACAUAACCAUUGUGGAGCACCCUUGUUGUGUGAUGAGCGAUUGUCAACGUACCAAUAUUUUGGUGGGUUGUUGGUUCGGUGGUUCUACUGAUAUCCUGGCACAAGGUUAUGUGUCGAAACGGUGUCUCUUGGCUUCGUGAUGUGCAGGUGUGGAGUCUGGAUGCGGUGCCAGCGGUCGGGUGAAGGUCAAGUAGGGCGUGCCGUGCUGACGGACCGGUUGCGGUGAAGGGCGGACGUGAGGCUUGGACUGACGGACCAGACGACCGGGUGGCCAGCUGCGGUGGCUGACACUUGGGACAUCGAUAAGCGCAAGUGUACACGGCGGGGGACGCGUACGGCUACGCUACUCGCGGCGGGUUUCGCGGGUUUGGGCCUCAAAACCCGGACGGAGGUCCCGAUGCGGACGGAUGGCACGUGGCGGCAUCGGUGAGAUCGCUUCGGAGCGACGCUACCGGUGAGGAGGCGCGGUGGCCGUCGGAUUUAGGUCAUGUCGAGUUGGACUAGAAUGCCCCUGGGGCUAGCUAGUUCGCUCAAAAAUAUCUAGGGACAUUUGGGGAAUAUGUAAUAUGCCUGAUAAAUAAACCGGGGGAGUUCCCCGUCUCUCCUAACCCCCUCUCCACUUCUCUCACGCCACCUCUCUGCCAACAGGUGGACUUGGGUAAUUUAGUUUCGGGACUCUCGCUUGUGCUUGGGAGUGAUUUUGGGACAGCGGCCAAAUAUUUUCGAGAGAAAAUUUGAGGCUCCCAUUCACCCUCCCUCUGGUCGCCGUUUUCGGUCCUUCAAUACCAAUCAAACCAGUUCCUGAGCCAACCGAACAUCUUCUUCAAAAGCAGCUAUUAUAUCAUCAUGCAUGCCAAUUGACGAAAGGUCUAGAAUUCACCGCACGACACAUGGACAAACUACUAUUUUCUAAUGUGGUUCUAGCUAGCUUGUUAUAUUAUAUGGAGGCUCUCAUGGAAGUGAAGGAUCCUUUCAGAGGUAGUGGCAGGCGUCCUCUCUUUUCUACGGUGGCGGUGAUGGUGGCUGAAUCGCAUUUCGUCUGACCUAGGUCCUUGGAGGUGAGUGGAUGCGUGGUUUCCAGGCAGGUUGGCCAUUGACCAAAUAAGCUCCAAAGGUUUAUUUCAUCAGAAGUGCACUCUGCUGCUAGAUCUACUUUAUGGCGCUACGAACGCAUGAUCUCUGAAUGUCUCCUAUUUUCUACGAACACAACUUUCAGCAUGUUCUAUGGUGCAACUCUGCAGGCAUCCAGUCACCUUAGGUCUUGUUUAGUUCUAAAAAGAUUUUGGAUUUCGGUACUGUAGCAUUUUUGUUUUUUUAUUUGAUAAAUAUUAUCCAAUCAUGGACUAACUGGUCUUAAAAGAUUCA